GAAGUCUGAGUCUGUUUGGCUGUCACCUGUUUUCUUUCCCUUCGGUGCCUGGUUUUGAUUCUUCAAGGAUCCCAAAGCAGUUCUCUUCACCCCUCGCGACUGGGCCCACUUAUAGAGUGGCCUUCUCCAUCACUUCAGCGGCUCUCCUCAGCCUCAAACUCCAGCAGUUGGGCUUCCCACAGCAGCUUUUGAACUGCCAUGGCCCCAGCUGGUUCCUUUAAUUAGUCGGGGCACGACGUCUUUCCCUCCA